GCACAUACAAUCAUAAUUCUAAUACAGUCCCCAAUAUUACAGUUCUUUCAAAUUGUAACAGAAGUUAUUCAACACAUAAGAAAUAUUAGACCACCUCCAACUUUCAACUUACGACUGACUGAAUAGAGACUGGCAUCACAUCUAUGGAGAAGGGAAGCAAAUUGAACAAAUAGAGGGAAUACUACCAAGUAAAGAAGAGAAAAAAAACAUUAUGAGAUGGAUCUGGAGUACACUUCAAAUCAGCAUGUUAUAACUUCAUGUUUUUCAUUUCAAAGGUUAUGAAAGGUACCUGGAUACAACAAUCAGGAAAAGAAAAAUGCUGAGAUCAGCUAGACAACAACAACAGAAAAACAACAACGAAAAUACAGUAGUGAGAAUCGAAAUUCAGCUUCAGAAACCAGCCAUUAUUCAGCUUAGAAAACCAGAGAAUCCAUGGAAAACCCUUUUAGAAACUCAAAAGAAAACCAGAGAGAUUAACGUGGUGAAUGCAAAGAAUUCUAAUGUUGUUUUUUUGUGAUUUUUUAGUGCAGAGAAUAGUUCUUGAAAUUUUUUUGAAUGAAGGAAAUGCAGCCUCUUUAUAGGCCUAGGAAAAUGUCAUGUUCUGAAACAAAAUGGGAAAAAAUUCUCUUCAGCCAAAGAGCAUCUUUUUAACAAACUUGUACAACUGGCAUUUUCUCAUUGGUCUCAGCACUUCAGCUAACCAAAUGAGGCCAGCUGCCCUCUAUUCUAGAACCUUUCAGCUGGUCUUUAUCCGAUUAUACUUACCCAAUCAUUGAAACAAACCCCUCAAGUUUCCUUUUUGUACAAUUAAGACCCUAGGAGUUCCUACUAAUUAACAAACUAGGACUAACAACAAAACCCAGAAUCAAAGAAACAAUGAAAAUCUAGAAAAUAAAUACUAAUUCACUUUAAACAUGUAACUAAAUCUGAAUCCAUUUAUCAGUGAACUUGAAAUCAAAAUGACACACACAUGAACACUUGAAUCUAAUAUGAAUUCGGAAUUAAAAACUAAAGGGCCAUUCUCAGAGAAUUAGACCUAGUCCGGGAACCAAAUAACAACAAGAAACUAAUAUGCACAAUUUGGAUUAAAUUAACUGGACACAAUACUAAUAAACCCUAAACACUAGCAUGCCGCAAUUUCAAUUUCCCUAAUGAACAAACAACUAAGUAGAAUCAAAACUAUGAACCACCAGAAAUAAAAUCUAAAUAUGGUGAUAACUAAACAUGCAGCCAAAUCCACAAUAACAUGCAGAAAACAAAAUCAAACAAAGAAAAAGAAAAGAAAAUUACCUAUACUCUCCCUUUCAAUAUUGGAAUUCUCGCUCAAUCCACAAGCCAAAAAGUGAACUCGAACUACCAUUAAUCGACUAUUCUUAACAAGAACAGUCGACUAACGGAUGUUUUGAGUUCACUCAAACAUCACACGACCAAAAAAAUGAAAAGGGAAAAUAGAAAUCAGGGCUCAACAUUUCAGAUUCGAGAUUUGGACAAUUUGGGGGUUUUUCCGAGGAAAUUUGUGAUAAAAGUGGGAAGAGGAAAGGACAACAGUUGCCUUGUAUCGAUUUGGGGAAGUUUGGAGGGAUUAGGGUUUUGGGAUUCCGAGUUUGGAUCUAAAAUCGGGGGAGUUUGAGAGGAAUUCGAGGGAAACGGGUUAGAGAUUUGGGAUGAGGAGAUGAAGGGGAUUCUAGGGUGUAAUUUUGGGGCAGAUUGAAGCUGCGCCGCCCGCCGAAGAUAAUGGGGAUUUUGGGGCGGCGGCUGGGGUUCCUGUGUUAGAGAUGAGGAAGAUGAGGGACGGG
rnacentral:lncRNA from 1 species